rnacentral:tRNA from 1 species
UUAAUAGAAGCCAAAUAGAGGCAUAUUAUUGUUAAUAAUAAAAUUGAGAAUUCCUAUUGUU